GUAAUAUUCUUCAACAUGUAAAAGAAGACACUGGAUUCUGUUCUCAUCUUUGUUUCUGUCUCCAAGUAACACGGUGACUGUAACACAGAUUGAUGAAAGAUUCUGCAGGACGACAAAGGUUAAAGAUGCAGACCCAGAGCUAGAAGCCAGCACUGACACUGAUCGAGUGGAUUGCAAUGAGAAUGCCCACAUUAUUGUCCUACCCUCCGAUAACCAAUGUAAUAUGAAAACUGACUACAGAAAAAGGAACAAAUUAAAUCCAUUAAUCAAGCAUAUCUCUGCUAAACAGUUGUUCUAAAGAGAUGAACAAAUGAAAAAUUUACUGUUUGUUUUCAUGCUUGCAAGGAUGGGGAAGAAAAUUAAUUAUAAGGUACUGGCCACACUAUUAGUUAAGUUUCUCUUGAAGAAACUAUUUAUUGCUUUGUCAAAGGACAAAUGAACCUCAUUAGGGAGAUUAGUUUCAGUUGGUAGUUUUGCAUUAAGACAAACUAAUAAUACACACUUCAAAAGAUACCCUGAGAAAAUUAUGAACAUAGGAAUGCAUUUCUUACUUCUUAAUUUAUGAACUGUUAGAAAAUGACCACUCUAUUACCUAUCAUGAAAUCAGAAAGAAAUCAAAUGUAGCUACACCUUUU
rnacentral:lncRNA from 1 species